UCCCUGGUGGUCCAGUGGUUAGGAUUCCGUGCUCUCACUGCGGAGGGCCUGGGUUCAACUCCCGGUCAAGGAA